rnacentral:rRNA from 1 species
UCUGGUGGCUAUAGCAAGGAGGUCACACCUGUUCCCAUGCCGAACACAGAAGUUAAGCUCCUUAGCGUCGAUGGUAGU